UACUUUGAGUCGGUACAAAUCAU
rnacentral:miRNA from 1 species